rnacentral:rRNA from 1 species
AAGAGAAACGUAACACAGGGGCGUGCAUGGCUUGUCGUCAGCUCGUGUCGGGGAGAUGUUGGGUUAAGUCCCGCAACGAGCGCAACCCUUGUCAUUAGUUGCUACGAAAGGGCACUCUAAUGAGACUGCCGGUGACAAACCGGAGGAAAGGUGGGGAUGACGUCAAGUCCUCAUGGCCCUUAUAGGUGGGGCUACACCACGUCAUACAAUGGCUGGUACAAAGGGUUGCCAACCCGGCGAGGGGGGGCUAAUCCCCAUAAAAGCCAGUCGUAGUCCGGAUCGCAGGCCUGCAACUCGACUGCGUGUAGGUCGGGAAUCCGCUAGGAAAUCGGGGGAUCAGAAAGUUCACGGGGGAAAUACGUUCCCCGGGGUCUUUGUAACACACCCGGGCCCGUCACUACCAAUGGGAGCCGGGGUUCUUGCCAAAAAAGGUAGGUUAAGCCCUAAACCCGCCAAGGGGGGGGCGAAUUUUAC